rnacentral:pre_miRNA from 1 species
AAUAAGACCAUUUUUUAGUUUUUAUACAAUGUUUUGACUCUUCGUCUUAUUUGAAAUUUUUUUACGAUUAAUAUUUUUAUUCUUACUAGAUGACAAAACAUGAAUAAUACUUUAUGCGUAACUAAUUUUUUAUAAAUUUUUUAAAUAAGAUGAAUAGUUAAAUGUUGGAUAUGAAAAA